GACGAACGCUGGCGGCGUGCUUAACACAUGCAAGUCGAACGUGAUUUUUGUGGAAAUUCUUUCGGGAAUGGAAAUGAAAUGAAAGUGGCGAACGGGUGAGUAACACGUGAGCAACCUACCUUACACAGGGGGAUAGCCGUUGGAAACGACGAUUAAUACCGCAUGAGACCACAGAAUCGCAUGAUAUAGGGGUCAAAGAUUUAUCGGUGUAAGAAGGGCUCGCGUCUGAUUAGCUAGUUGGAAGGGUAAAGGCCUACCAAGGCGACGAUCAGUAGCCGGUCUGAGAGGAUGAACGGCCACAUUGGAACUGAGACACGGUCCAAACUCCUACGGGAGGCAGCAGUGGGGAAUAUUGCACAAUGGGGGGAACCCUGAUGCAGCGACGCCGCGUGAGCGAAGAAGGUUUUCGAAUCGUAAAGCUCUGUCCUAUGAGAAGAUAAUGACGGUAUCAUAGGAGGAAGCCCCGGCUAAAUACGUGCCAGCAGCCGCGGUAAUACGUAUGGGGCGAGCGUUGUCCGGAAUUAUUGGGCGUAAAGGGUACGUAGGCGGUUUUUUAAGUCAGGUGUGAAAGCGUGAGGCUUAACCUCAUUAAGCACUUGAAACUGGAAGACUUGAGUGAAGGAGAGGAAAGUGGAAUUCCUAGUGUAGCGGUGAAAUGCGUAGAUAUUAGGAGGAAUACCGGUGGCGAAGGCGGCUUUCUGGACUGUAACUGACACUGAGGCACGAAAGCGUGGGUAGCAAACAGG
rnacentral:rRNA from 1 species